rnacentral:lncRNA from 1 species
AGAGAUCUUAGUGUCUCACUGCACCUGACCUCUGUGGCGAGCUAGGAGUGUCUGAGCCCUCACCACGCCUUCCCCUGUGAGUACCGGACCCCUCUUCAGGAGUCAGGAAGCGGAUGCAGGGUGGUGCAGCCCCAGGACAUGGAGCCUGGGAACGCCAGGCCCACGGUCAGCCCUGCCAGGUGCCGUCGGACGCACCUCGAGGGUUUUCCACGCAUUGAAACAGGCAAGGUUAGCAUAGAUAAACUGGGCUGUUCUGCGUGAGGGGAAGUACAGGCUGUGAGAAACAAAAGUGCAUGAGCCAUCCGGCGUUCCCAGUGUCUGCCGCAGACCCAAAGUUAAGGUUUGCCUUUAAUUUUAUCAGUUCUCUUUACCCGCUAUUUUGUAGUAAAACUCAUUUUCUAUUUUCAUCAUAUGCUUCUCAGAUUCUCACUAGUUUGAUAGCACACGCAUAUACAUCUUUUACUGAAAUAAUACUUUCUAACGUAAUGAGCACUUACAUUAAUAGCCUAAGCACCACCCAACACACAUCCAUUCCUCUCAGAAGCUCCCCAGUCCCUGAGCCUAGAGGCUGGGCCUCCCUCAGCUCCAAGUAAUUCCUCCUCAAGGCACCAGUGUGGAGGGCAUCGCAGACGUUGUUCUUUCCACCGCAAUCAAACAUGAAAGAGCGUUUUUGCCUUCCUGUUCUUCUCUAGAAUUGUGUUUAUUUAAAGUCCUUAAGAGAACAUCAAGAAGUGAAAGAAUUACUAUUCUCAGUAGUACCACCAUUCUAAGCUUGCACAUAAACAUUGUCUCCUCCUGGGAGAAAUGCCUGGAUUUACCCUGAAAGAC